rnacentral:rRNA from 1 species
UACGUAUGGUGCAAGCGUUAUCCGGAUUUACUGGGUGUAAAGGGAGCGCAGGCGGCGCGUUAAGUCUGAUGUGAAAACCCGCGGCUCAACUGCGGGACUGCAUUGGAAACUGGCGGGCUUGAGUGCCGGAGAGGCAAGCGGAAUUCCUAGUGUAGCGGUGAAAUGCAUAGAUAUCACGCAGAACUCCGAUUGCGAAGGCAGCAUACCGGCGCCCAACUGACGCUGAAGCACGAAAGCGUGGGUAUCGAACAGG